ACGUAGGGGGCAAGCGUUGCUCGGAAUUACUGGGCGUAAAGGGUGUGUAGGUGGCUGAUUAAGUUAAGGAUGAAAUCCCGGGGCUCAACUUCGGAACUGUCCUGGAUACUGGUCAGCUUGAGGAUAGUAAAGGAGAGCGGAAUUCCCGGUGUAGGAGUGAAAUGCGUAGAUAUCAGGAGGAACACCGGAGGCGAAGGCGGCUAUCUGGACUGGUAUUGACGCUGAGACGCGAAAGCGUGGGUAGCAAACAG
rnacentral:rRNA from 1 species